AUACGUAGGGGGCAAGCGUUAUCCGGAUUUACUGGGUGUAAAGGGAGCGUAGACGGAAGGCCAAGUCUGAUGUGAAAGCCCGCGGCUCAACUGCGGGACUGCAUUGGAAACUGGUCAUCUGGAGUGCAGGAGGGGUAAGCGGAAUUCCUAGUGUAGCGGUGAAAUGCGUAGAUAUUAGGAGGAACACCGGUGGCGAAGGCGGCUUACUGGACUGUAACUGACGUUGAGGCUCGAAAGCGUGGGGAGCAAACAGGAUUAGAUCCCCUGGUAGUCCACGCCGUAAACGAUGAAUACUAGGUGUAGGGUCUCUAUAGAGAUUCGGUGCCGCAGCAAACGCAAUAAGUAUUCCACCUGGGGAGUACGUUCGCAAGAAUGAAACUCAAAGGAAUUGACGGGG
rnacentral:rRNA from 1 species